GACGAACGCUGGCGGCGUGCUUAACACAUGCAAGUCGAACGGAAAGGCCCUGCUUUUGUGGGGUGCUCGAGUGGCGAACGGGUGAGUAACACGUGAGUAACCUGCCCUUGACUUUGGGAUAACUUCAGGAAACUGGGGCUAAUACCGGAUAGGAGCUCCUGCUGCAUGGUGGGGGUUGGAAAGUUUCGGCGGUUGGGGAUGGACUCGCGGCUUAUCAGCUUGUUGGUGGGGUAGUGGCUUACCAAGGCUUUGACGGGUAGCCGGCCUGUGAGGGUGACCGGCCACAAUGGGACUGAGAGACGGCGCAGACUCCUACGGGAGGCAGCAGUGGGGAAUAUUGCACAAUGGGCGGAAGCAUGAUGCAGCAACGCAGCGUGCGGGAUGACGGCCUUCGGGUUGUAAACAGAUUUCGACUGUGACGAAGCGUGAGUGACGGUAAUGGGUAAAGAAGCACCGGCUAACUACGUG
rnacentral:rRNA from 1 species